UCAGCAAAUGGCUGAGAUUCUAACUUCCACAAAUAGCUUAGUUCCUCUCUCCUGCAGCUCCGCUGACUCUUCGCUCUCCCUCUCCCUUCCCUGUAUUCAGCAUCGAUGCCCUAAUAUGUUGCUACGCGUGGACCUGCUGUAAGCUGCUGGCUUCUGGUGUGCCCAGCCUCCCAUGCCAUUUUAAACAACUGGACUGCAGAGAGCAACGAGAAAUGGUGGUGCCCAGGGCAGCGGGAAGACGGUUGUGCAAACAAAUACAGGGACAUGUGAGAAGUGGAGUCUCAGAGCUCUUACAUGAUGCUAUGGAAGAGAAGGAAAGAAGGUAUUAACUGAAUAAGGGGUGCGAGGCUGGAGAUUAUCAGGGAAGGCUUUGGAGGAAGUAACAUUUGAGCUGAAUUUCCAAGGAUCAGUAGUAUGUUCCCAGGCAGACAGGGAGGUUACAUACACUGAGGUUUGGAGGUGUGAGAAAUCAUGGUGUAUAAUGGAACAGUGACAAAUUCCAGGCCAAAGCAUGGGCCAGGGGAGGGGCACAGGACAUGUGUGUUUGAGGGUGUAACUGGAUAGACAGGUGAAGUUUAGAAGAUGACAGGCCUUGUGUGCCAUGCUGAGGGUUUGGAGCUCAUCCUCCAGGAAAGAGGAGCCUACUGAUGGACUUUAAGCUGGGGGAUGAUGCAAUCACACUUCUGCUUAAGUUGCAGGAUUUCAGGGUAGGGGAGGAGACGGGGAACAUGAUAGAGGCUGUCCUGGAAUGGAGGGGCUCUAACAUGGGACCCUGAGAAGACAGUGCUGCAGUGAGAGUACAAGGUAGAGCUGAUAGGGAUUGGGGAGCAAUUGGAUGUAAGAGGAUGAAUAACGAUCAAUAAUAAAUUAAUGUAGGCCAUUAACUUGCUUAAAAAA
ensembl:lncRNA